GUGGAUGCCAUGUGACCAGGGUGCUGUUGACUUUGUGUGUCCCAUGGUGUGCUUGGCAAACAGAGCAAUUUACCCAAGGCCACCUCGUCGCCAUCUGCCAGGUUGGGAGCUUUGGAGCGGGAGGCAGAGGACAGGGCUCUGCCUGGCAUGCACUUGCCCCUCUGGCUUUCCCGGGGUGCCCACCCAGAGAUGCUGGCCACGUAGAUGGGUGUAUCCGGGAAGGCGACUCCGUAUACCACUGAGGACUUCUCUGCAACACUCUGGAGGUCUUUAUCAAGGGGUUGCCCGUUCUAGAAUACUCUAUGUGAUUGCUGCCUCCACAUUGGGCUCCCAUUAAGUUUUCACGUAAAGAAAAAAUCCAGGAACUGGCUUCAGGUGGCCCCUGCGCCAUCUCUCUGAGGAGGUACCUGCGGGUGGACCAUUACCCAGAUUUUAGCAAACGUGACCGCCAAGUCCCACAGACCAAGAAGCAUGGGCAGGGACAAGGUGUCUCCGGGAAGCUGGGACCUGGUUGCACUGUGCCUUCACACAAGGACUGGGGACCUGUGUCAGAGCAGAGUCCCGGGGAGCUGGUGUCGCUGGCCCCGGGUGAGCAGACUGAGGAAGCCCCGGCCAGAAGCUGCCCACCUAGCCUUGCGGCAUCCUGGCAGACGGACCUGAGCCAGGCAUGCGGCGGGGCCCGAGGAGCUCAUCGACACGGAGAUCUUUUGCUCCUGGACGACCUGCCACACUUGAGACAACCGCGGGGACUGGGGAGACGGUCAGCCGAAGCAGUGACCUUCUGAAGGUGGGACUAACCAACCCGAGAGACUUUUGAUGGUGGGGUGUCUGGGGGAUGGUUUGCAGAUGAGGCUCUUCUCUUGUGGGUGACAGUCUGGAAAAUCUGCACAGGGUGAGGUUACCCUGCAUUGAUUCAUCCAGGUCUGGGGGGGUGGCUGUCCUCUGAGCAGUUGUAUCAGCCAGUGGCCCAGCAGCACCGCAUCCUCCCCGUGUCAAGAACCUGACUAGCAUUAGGGAGGAGGAGCUCUCAUCAUUCUUCAGGAAAGUGCCUUUCAAUUCUCUUUAAAUGGUGGUGUGAUUUUACUGAUCUCUCUAAGAAGGAUGACAUUCAUUAUCAGGGUCAUAUACCGAAGAGGUUUGCCUAGGAUUGUCCGUUUUAAAAUGGAAAGUUCCAUGUCCUGGGAGACUCCUCCAUCCAGGGCAAAGCAGUCCCCCGGCCCCUACUCAGAUGGAGGAAGUCAGCUCAAACAACAUGUGGUGGACCUGCCCGUAAGCUGCGUCCCGCCUGUGUGUGCACAUGGCUACGCGGGAUGGCAUCCCCACACGUAUUUGAGGUUCGCCAUUUGGUCCCGUGAGCCAGAAUUCUGGGGCUCUCGCGGCAACCCCUUCCGUUGAGGCUGCCUGGCACAGAAGCAGGACAGAAGCAGGUGCUGCUGCCAGCACAGGACCCUGGAAGAAGACCAAAUUCUGUAGUGUUACUUGAAUCACUUUCCAGUUACGCUAGUCAAGAUAUUACCACCACCACCCCCCCCCCCCCCGCCCCGCUUAGGCCAGUUUACGUUGGUUUCUUUAUUCACAAAUGACAAUUCUGAUGAAUGCAGGCCUCUGCAUCCACGCACCAGCCAUCCAUCUACAGCCUCACGACGCAUGCCUGGCUCAGAGCAGGCCCUCAAGCCACGGCGGCUGAGUGAAUGAGAGGCUGUGCCCUGGCCUGAUAGCAGGCAGCGACUGCAUCCAACUGCAAGUAACGGCCAAGGGAAUAGUCACUUAAGCAGGAAGAGCUUGUUUUCCCCUUCAAUUUUCUUCUUUUCACGUAGCAAGAAGUCUGGCUUUUGUCAUUCCCAGGCCGUGGUGUGGCAGCUCCGUGAUAUUAUCAAGGACUUAGCCCCUUCCAUAUUUCUGUCCUGCCAUCCUUCACACGUAGCUUUGGUCUUCAUGGUCACAAGAAAGCUACUGCUACUCCGGGCGUCUUGAGUGAGUUCCAGGCAGGAAGAGAAAGAAAAGGGUGAUAGAGGGGGGGAGAGGCUCUCCCUUGAUGUGUAAAACCCUUAGUUGUACAGCUCACAAACUAGAAUCAUGUCACCUGGCAUCCCUAGAUGCAGAGGAGACUGAGAAAUAGAGUUUGUUAGUGGGGCUCACUGCCACCUGAGACGUCAGGUUUCUCUUAUAAAGGAUGGCUACCUGGAUAUUAAGUAGGCAACUGGCCGUCUCUGCCACUGGACUUUUUUUUUUUUUUAAAGAUUUUAUUUAUUCAUGAGAGAGAGAGAGAGAGGCAGAAGCAGGCUCCAUGCGGGGAGCCCGACAUGGGACUCGAUCCCUGGUCUCCAGGAUCACGCCCUGGACUGAAGGCGGCGCUAAACCGCGGAGCCACUCGGGCUGCCCUGCCACUGGCCUUUUGCCAUUCUUUUUAAUUUUCUUCAUUCAGAACACUGUUUUGGGUAUUUGGGUGACUUUUGUGGUACCCUUAUGUGCCAGCUUUGCCCUUGUCUGCUCUUUAGGGACAACAGCUGUGCUCAGUUGUCUUUUGCAGCUCCACCCUGGAGUCGGCCUGUCUUCUUGGGGCUCCUAAGAAUUGUUCCAGUAAGAAUGUCUGAGGCUGAAACAGACAUGUUCCUUCUGAGAGAUACAAGGAAAUUCUCCUUUGCCCACAGUGGGUAGCAACAGGCACAGACUGUAGCACAUGGAAGGUAGACGGUGAACAGCUGAUGGAUAGGUGAAUGGUAAUGAUGGCUAGUGGAUGGAUAACUGGGCCUUCAACUCGGUAAGCAUGGGGGAGUGGAGGACUCCUACUAGGAGAGGCAGCGUGAAUACAAUGUGUAAAACACAGUGCCUGCCCUCAGGUAGCUUGCAGGCUGGGAGCUAAGAAGUGGGCAGAGAGACCUGGAAAUAGAUAUUAGCUCUGCACUAGGCAGAUGGUUAUUAAGCACCAAAAGUGUGGUCAGUGCAGGGAUGCCUGGGUGGCUCAGAAGUUGUGCAUCUGCCUUUGGCUCAGGUCAUGAUCCCGGGGUCCUGGGAUUGAGUCCUGCAUCAGGCCCCUGCAGAGAGUCUGCUUCUUCCGCUGCCUAUGUCUCUGCCUCUCUCUCUCCAUGUCUCUCAUGAAUAAAUAAAUAAAAUCUUUAAGCAAAACAAAAAGUGUGGCCAGUGCAAAUUAAGAUAUAUUGUCGGUGUAAAAUACACACCAGAUUUUGAAGGCUGGAUACAGAAAAAUAUUGUAUAAUCUCAUUAAUAAUGGUCUUACAUUGAUCAUGCAUGGAAAUGAUAAUAUUUUGGUCAUAAUUGGGUUAAAUAAAAUACUAAAAUUCA